AUGACCUGCGUGGAGAAGCGACACCUGAGCCACCGGACGGGAAGCAUGCUCCACCACCGCUUCCCCAACGGCUUCGCCGACAUGCUCAUGGACGAGACGGACCGGGAGGUCAGCACUCUCACCGACCGGGCCUUCCGGAGCCUGUGUGUCGGAGACGACGCAGUUUACAACGACGAGUUCUUCUACGGGUACUCGCCGUUCAGCUGCCACAAGCCUUUGGUUGGGGAGGCCCCGAAAAAGACUCAUCACAAAGACUGUAAAAAGCAAGGGCCAAGCAAAAGCAACAAGCACGAUACCCAGCAAUGGAGACAGCAGCGAGACGAAAGCCUGUCUCACAUGUCAUCGUUCCUUAAGGCGUUGAGCGUGACAGAGGAAAGCUGUGAAGGGCUGUUAAAUAAAAAUGGGGGCAUGACAGACUCUAAUGGAGAAUCGUGGGAUAAGUCUGCGCUUCGCAGCAUCCAAAAGGAGCUUUCAGACUUCUCCAAUUAUCAUACAGAUGAACACUGCAAGAGCCAUCACUUGCUACACUUUGGUAAUGGAGCGUCAAAAAAAGCAGGCAAAGACGCCGGCCUGCCCUCGGGGAAAUCCUCCAAAGUGAAAAACGGGAGGUCUACUGUCAAACUAAAGAAACUCAACAUCAAAAACUUUUUCCUCCACAGUGAGCUUAGCCCGUUCCAGACGUGGAAAGAUUUCAACCGGUUCCCCUUUGGCCCACAGGAGACCUCUAUUCUACCCAUCAAUAAUAUUCCUAAAUGGUACGAUUUGCCAUUUUACAGAGAGCUGACAGAGGCGCACGCGAAGGACGUCCAGUUAGAGGAGGCGCAGUCAUGUCAGAAGGCUGAGCCACCUCCUCCUACUGCCCCUAAACCCGUCCCUCCCCCUCCGCCCCCAAAGGUUUUGCCAAAGUCCUCAGCGUCUUUAGCUGAGAAGAGAUGCUCAUCAGAUGGAGUGGAUGGGAAUACUGCCCCCUGGAGAAGCAACAGGUCCAGAGCAAAAAGUGCUGUUCAAAUCAGUCAGCCUGGCAAACCAAGUCAGGACAACGCCUCAGAGGGAGUGGAUGGAGAAAGUCUUUUAUCGGCUAGUACUGAAUACAAGUCUGUGGAGGUAAAAGCCAUUGAGGAGGUCAGUUCCUUGGCCUCAACACCAUUCAGCAUCUGCCAGCUGAUGACUCCCGUCAUUCCCUCCAGACAGCCAACAGAAACAUCAGAAAUCCUCCUGUCUUCCGCCCUCGACCUUCCCCUCAGGCCGCACUCUGAGGCCAAAGUGGCCCCCGAACCUCCAGUUAAGCGAGACAGCUACAAGUCGCUCGCGUUCAGUAUCCUGUUCAACCUCAAAGACAACAGGAAAAGGGUGAAAAGUCGCUACAGCCCGCGGAAAUUCAAGACUUCGGAAUUGCCUGUGGGUGGCAGCCAGUCUCCUCAGUCGGAUUAUGUGGGAAACACCCAGCCUGGUUCAGAGGGCAAUGCUUCUGGAUUAAGCACACCUGCUGUUUCAAGAGAUGAACAGCCCUUUUGUAGUCCUGCCAUAGAGCCUACCAGCCCUUCAGCUGUCGGUCUACCUAAACCUGAAGCUGACAGGCCUUUGUCAGAUGACUAUUUGCUAUCAAAUCUACUACUAUCUAAAAAGGAAGGAGUAGGUACCGAUUCUUGUGGGGAGGAGAAUCCUAUUUCCUCUUUGAUACACUCAAAAAAGAACAAGAGCCCCUUGAGUAAAAAGCAAAACUACCCCUCUCUGAAUUUGUACAGGAAAGCUAGCCCCGUUGACAAUGCUAUGAAAUAUCUUCAAGUCCCUCAGAGCACUGGAGCUCCUGAACACAUAGAUCAGCCACAGGAGACAAAUGGACUUUCACCACUCAGGCGCAACAAAGAACGCUCUCCAAAACUACUGCCAACAAACACUGAGCUUUCACCAAAUGCCUUAGAUGUCAACAAAGAUCAUCCGACCGUGAUAUUUCCUCAUGCAACUGAGAAAGAGAGGCUGUCAACAAAUUCAUCAGCAGGAAAAAGUGCCCCUGAGGUAGCAGACAAAUCAGACCAGCUAAUGAAAGACAAAAAGGAGUCUGGACUACAGCCUAUGUCUAAGGGAAAAGACACCAGUGGCCAAAAAGCCAUUACAAUGGAUGUGAUCAGAGCAGCAAGAGAAGCAAUUAAUGCGGAAAAAAGUAAAGCUCUGUCUGUGACUCUGUCAGACAUUAGCAAUAAAUCGGACAUAGAAGAAGAGAGAGAGAAAGAAACAGAUAUGGUUGGAUGUGAAGAGUUUAGUAGCAGGAGGGAGAGUAAUGUCAAGAAAGACCCUCCCCCAGUUCCAAAGAGAAAUUUUAGUAAAUCUGAUAUUUAUCAUGUUCUCGACCAACAGGCAACACGUAGUAUUACUAGUCCCAGUAAAAGUGAAUUAUCAGCAAAGGAAAGUGAGUCUCUCCUGAAACAAGACAAGCUCAAACGUGUAUUCUCAGCCAAACAAAACAAUUACAUAAAACAUCAGCGAUACGCAGUGGGAGACGAUGAGCAAGUGAAGGACUGUGUGGAGGAUGAUCUGAACGUGAGCGUGAGGAGAGAGAUGGAUGAGGACAUGGCGUUAGCGCGGGAGAAAGACGAGAGUGAGAAUUUGAUUAAUGACUUGCUCGCUUCGAGAGAGCUGGAGAGAGCAAGGCUCGGAGAGAAGACAAAGCACAAGCUAGGAGGUGCUAACGCAAAUGAGGAGGCUAAGGUUAAAAACAAUUUGAUCUCAAGGGAGCUUCGUAACAUUAAGAAAGGCAUGUUAGCUAUGAGAGGGAAUACGCUGGCUAAGAAGGAGCUUUUUGCAAAGAAGGAGAAAGAGCUGGUGAAGCCUGAAGCUUUUACAAAGCUAGACAGUAAUGUAAUAGUCAACAAGGCACUUAUAAAUGAUAACUAUGACAAAGCCAAGAUGGCACUAGAAGAAAUUAUUGCAGAGAGGCAGAAAAGAAAGAAAAUAACAGACCACGAUGUGAAUACAGUAAAUGAGAAGAAUGCUAGUGAUGAAUGUUACACAACAAAGGUACAGCAAAGUAAAGACGCUAUGAAGCCUAUGACAGAAGGCAAUGAUACGCUAAGUGAGCACACUCUUGCACUAAAGGAGAAGGACCUGAAGGAGAGAUUAGAGGAUCUUAGAGACUACAAUCACAUGAGACAGAUCUUGGCACAGACUGAACCAGUGUUUGGUGAGAGUCACCGAUGGGGUGGUAGGAUAGCUUUACCGGGCAUGAAGAAAACCGACUCGAAGGAGCCGACUGCACUCCUUCAAGCUCAGGAUUCACUAACUAAUACACCUAGCUUAGAAUCAGAGGGGACACAUUCAGGACAAGUAUCAAGACAGGUGUCUGAGGAGAAUGGGAGAUUCUGGGGGCUGACACAGGUGGCAGGAGGUCAGAUGCUCCUCGUGUUCCUCCAAGAAACAAAAAAGGAGGCGGUAGAGGAUGUGGAAGCGUUGCCAAGGAGACAGACGGCUUGCAAGAAUCAGUAUAUGAGAACGGCCUGGAAAACGGUGAGGAAGGCUUAA
ensembl:lncRNA